GGGUGGUCCACCAGCUGCAUGAAGUCCCGGUACCAGAGCUUCUGAUUGGUCAUCGAGGAGCCGCCUCCGCUGCGAGGAUCUAAUCGGACAGGAGCGUCGGAGGGCAAGUUGGGGAUGUAGGAGGAUGUUGAAGGACCCGGCGAAUCAGAAGACCCCGGUCUGUUUGAACCUGUCAGACCUGGAAGUGGAGAAGACGGCGUAGACCAGAGGGUGCUUUCUGUCUCUGGUCUGCAGCAGGAACACGUCGCCUGAGGACGGACACACACAGUCAGGUCGGGUGGGGACCGCCCAAAGGUUUCCACAAAGAUAAACAAAGGCCUGUGGAAAUGUCUAAUCCCUUUCAAGAGGUUUCCCUGAUUGCUGGAGGUCAUGACAUAGAACUAAAUCCACCAAAGCUAAAGCCAAGAUGGUGAAGUUGACUCCUUCACACAUUAAAAUCUUUGGAAAUGGGCUCUAUUUUGCAAGUUUUAUCCUCCUGUUGUUUCUAAAAUUAUUUAUAAUAAAGAAAACAAUUAGCUCAAUCAACCUUUUAAGCAAGGUCAUACUAGGAAUACUUUUGCACAGACUUUCUGCUGCAGGUGUGCUCAUUAACCCACUGUCAAGAUAAGAGCCACAUUGUUCAUCUAUAAGAAUGUGACUGACAGACGCAGCCUGAGGCGGGGUUAGAGUUUGGACAAAGUUUUUACUUAGUUAACCUUUUCACUUUGUCAUGAGAUGAGCACAAAGGCAGAUCAUAUUAUGGCCCCCAGAUACGGUCGGACAGAUCUAUUAGAAACAUCUUUAGAGAGCUGCUGGCUCAACCACAUGACUGCAGGUUCAACACAUAUUACGCAAUCACCCGUUCUGCCCUGAGGAGAGGCCUCCAGUUCACACCGAGAAAAUCAAAGGAAACACGUUUUAUAUGAAAUAUUUUUCACUCAGAUUCAUACAUGUUUAUUCAACUAUGAAUACCAAUAAAUGUAAUAAAGUUUAUGUGCUUAAUAAACUGCAUUUAAAA